GACGAACGCUGGCGGCGUGCCUAAUACAUGCAAGUAGAACGCUGAAGAGAGGAGCUUGCUCUUCUUGGAUGAGUUGCGAACGGGUGAGUAACGCGUAGGUAACCUGCCUUGUAGCGGGGGAUAACUAUUGGAAACGAUAGCUAAUACCGCAUAACAAUGGAUGACACAUGUCAUUUAUUUGAAAGGGGCAAUUGUUCCACUACAAGAUGGACCUGCGUUGUAUUAGCUAGUAGGUGAGGUAAUGGCUCACCUAGGCGACGAUACAUAGCCGACCUGAGAGGGUGAUCGGCCACACUGGGACUGAGACACGGCCCAGACUCCUACGGGAGGCAGCAGUAGGGAAUCUUCGGCAAUGGGGACAACCCUGACCGAGCAACGCCGCGUGAGUGAAGAAGGUUUUCGGAUCGUAAAGCUCUGUUGUAAGUCAAGAACGGGUGUGAGAGUGGAAAGUUCACACUGUGACGGUAGCUUACCAGAAAGGGACGGCUAACUACGUG
rnacentral:rRNA from 1 species